rfam:Myotis lucifugus cont2.6806, whole genome shotgun sequence.
GAGACACCCCUCCGGGGCAAGACUUGCUUCAAUGGGGCUGUGGUGCUCACUGAGUCUGCCCCUUGAGUGUGUCCUU